AACGAACGCUGGCGGCAUGCCUAACACAUGCAAGUCGAACGAGACCUUCGGGUCUAGUGGCGCACGGGGGCGUAACGCGUGGGAACCUGCCCUUAGGUUCGGAAUAACUCCCCGAAAGGGGUGCUAAUACCGGAUAAUGUCUUCGGACCAAAGAUUUAUUGCCUUUGGAUGGGCCCGCGUUGGAUUAGCUAGUUGGUAGGGUAAAAGCUUACCAAGGCGACGAUCCAUAGCUGGUCUGAGAGGAUGAUCAGCCACACUGGGACUGAGACACGGCCCAGACUCCUACGGGAGGCAGCAGUGGGGAAUAUUGGACAGUGGGCUGAAGCCUGAUCCAGCAAUGCCGCGUGAGUGAUGAAGGCCUUAGGGUUGUAAAGCUCUUUUACCCGGGAUGAUAAUGACAGUACCGGGAGAAUAAGCUCCGGCUAACUCCGUG
rnacentral:rRNA from 1 species